rnacentral:rRNA from 1 species
CAAAUUUCUGCCCUAUCAACUUGAUGGUAGUAUAUAGGACUACCAUGGUUAUAACGGGUAACGGAGGAUUAGGGUUUGAUUCCGGAGAAGGAGCAUGAGAAACGGCUACUAUUUCUAAGGAAAGCAGCAGGCGCGCAAAUUAUUCAAUGGAAACAAAUUUCCGAAAUAGUGACAAAAAAUAUCAAUGCUGGGCACAAUGUGUUUAGUAAUUGGAAUGAGUACAAUUUUAAAUCCCUUAACAAGUAACAAUUAGAGGGCAAGUCUGGUGCCAGCAGCCGCGGUAAUUCCAGCUCUAAUAGCGUAUAUUAAUAUUGUUGCAGUUAAAAAGCUCGUAGUUGAAAUUUGGGACUUUAUUGUAUUGGUUCAUCUUUUGAUGAACUGUAUGAUGGGUUUCUUCCUACUAGGAUUCGAUUCUGUCCUUAACUGGAUGGAGUAGCCAUCUCUCGGGGUG